UAGAGGAAGUAAAAGUCGUAACAAGGUCUCCGUUGGUGAACCAGCGGAGGGAUCAUUACCGAGUUUACAACUCCCAAACCCAAUGUGAACGUUACCAAACUGUUGCCUCGGCGGGGUCACGCCCCGGGUGCGUCGCAGCCCCGGAACCAGGCGCCCGCCGGAGGAACCAACCAAACUCUUUCUGUAGUCCCCUCGCGGACGUAUUUCUUACAGCUCUGAGCAAAAAUUCAAAAUGAAUCAAAACUUUCAACAACGGAUCUCUUGGUUCUGGCAUCGAUGAAGAACGCAGCGAAAUGCGAUAAGUAAUGUGAAUUGCAGAAUUCAGUGAAUCAUCGAAUCUUUGAACGCACAUUGCGCCCGCCAGUAUUCUGGCGGGCAUGCCUGUCCGAGCGUCAUUUCAACCCUCGAACCCCUCCGGGGGAUCGGCGUUGGGGAUCGGGACCCCUCACACGGGUGCCGGCCCCGAAAUACAGUGGCGGUCUCGCCGCAGCCUCUCCUGCGCAGUAGUUUGCACAACUCGCACCGGGAGCGCGGCGCGUCCACGUCCGUAAAACACCCAACUUUCUGAAAUGUUGACCUCGGAUCAGGUAGGAAUACCCGCUGAACUUAAGCAUAUCA
rnacentral:rRNA from 1 species